rnacentral:misc_RNA from 1 species
AAAAAGAUCCAAAAACUAUACAGACCACCAAUGAUACACUUGAUUAAGGUCACCUUGACGUUUAGAUCUACUAGACAUGGAAAAAAAGUAAGCCAAAAGAGAAACAAAUAAGUUUCUGGUUUUAGGAUGGAAAUGUCUUGCCAUUCAUCCCAUAUUACUCAUCAUCCAUUCUACUUCUUGCCGCAUGUUGCCUUCCAAGGGUAUGGAGUCUCCAUUACCAAACGCAGCCCUUGGUCUUUUCUUUAUGGAUACAGCUGCCUGUGAACCAACACCCAUUGGAGAAACUGG